CGUGCCGAAGGUGCUGCUCCCAUUGACACUCAGCCACCGAAACUCAGUUUUGCUUCCAUUGACAGUCAGGCACUCAAAGUCAGUACUGCUCCCAUUGAACCACCGUGCGCCUAAGUUGCACUGUUUGCAGUAUGGAGCCUCAGAUUGAUGAGGAGUUAGAGGUCUUGGACCCCGGUCUACGUCAGAGGUCAUUGUUAACACGACAGCCAUAUCAUCGAUCAGAGGCCAUUUGGAAUGGCGAGGACUCGGGCCCACUUACGUGCCGUGGUCGCACUAAGGAGAUGGCAAACGUUCAGAUGCAAGAUAAUCGAGU